ACCUACUGUUUAAUUUUGGGGGUUCGUUUUUACGAAUACUCAAAAUUAGCACUUUAAGCAACGGGAUUUAUUCGUUGGCGCUGUGCGUUAGCACUUUGAAAACUGCAUAUAUAUUUAGUGAUAUGACAUCUAAUUUGUAAUAUAUAAAGCUGAUAACUUUUUAAAAUUAUCGAAGUUGAUAGCUUCUAAUCUAUCAAACCUUUUUAACUGGUCAA
rnacentral:misc_RNA from 1 species